CCUACGGGUGGCAGCAGUGAGGAAUAUUGGUCAAUGGACGGAAGUCUGAACCAGCCAUGCCGCGUGCAGGAAGACGGCUCUAUGAGUUGUAAACUGCUUUUGUACAAGGGUAAACCUGAAUACGUGUAUUCAGCUGAAAGUACUUUACGAAUAAGGAUCGGCUAACUCCGUGCCAGCAGCCGCGGUAAUACGGAGGAUCCAAGCGUUAUCCGGAUUUAUUGGGUUUAAAGGGUGCGUAGGCGGAUUGUUAAGUUAGAGGUGAAAUGUCCGAGCUUAACUCGGGAACUGCCUCUAAUACUGUUGGUCUAGAGAGUAGAUGCGGUAGGCGGAAUGUAUGGUGUAGCGGUGAAAUGCUUAGAGAUCAUACAGAACACCGAUUGCGAAGGCAGCUUACCAAUCUAUAUCUGACGUUGAGGCACGAAAGCGUGGGGAGCAAACAGGAUUAGAUACCCCUGUAGUC
rnacentral:rRNA from 1 species